UGCCUUUAUAAUCUGGAAAUGCUUAAAGUAAUAUAAGGCAUGCUGUAAAAUGUGGAAUGGACUUUAAUAUCAUUUUUCAUGAUUUGGUGCUUAAACUGUUUCUUUUAGUCAGAUUAACCAUAAAUAGAGUUGGCAAUCCAAUAAUUCCUCCUGAAUCACCAUGUUUGACUUCUGUGUUUUGUUGAAACAUCAUAUAUUUGGGUUUUGUGCACUCCUUAGGUUAAAAUGGUAAGAUGAAAAAAAAGUGAAAAUCUGCCAGAUGGGGUAGGGUUGUAAUCUUUCAUUUUUUUUGGUAAGAAAUGAGUGCAGACAAGUAUUCUUUAUUGUACUAUGUUCAAAAGUAAGAAGUCUAUGCAUCAUAGGUGUCAUGACUGGUUUCAGGUUUGUUAUGUCUUGGUUAAGGUGGCACGGUAGUAUUUGCAUUCCAGAAUUUAGGUUGCUCUUUUGUGUACCCUACUUAGGUUAAUGUAUCUAAACAGUGUGAUUGGACAAAAAAUACAGUAUCAACUGAACAUACUUUCCCAAACUGAGGGAUGAAUCAGGUGUAGAAAAAUAUGAAAUAAUUUUACAUACAGAUGAAAAUGAAUUUUUGAGAAUUUUUUUUAAUUUUGUAUUCACUGCACCAUAAAAGACCUAAAAACACUAGUGGCCUUAGGUAUUUAAAUAUAGCAAAAAAAGUAAACGGUCAUGAUACAUAUUCAAAUUCAUUUCUAAAUAGUAAAAUGAAAGUACUUCAGUUAACUGUGAAUGUAGAAUUUUUUGCAGUGUUAGAAAGUGGUGAAAAUUCUAAAAAGGCUAUCAUUAUCCCUAUGGGCCAGGAAAUACUACCGUGCCACCUUAAGGGGGAUAUAUAUUUUUACACUAAAUCAAUAAAAGAAUUUUUUUUACCUAUGCAAUUUGUAAGUUUAUCAAUAAAAAUUUGAUUUAGGGCAACUAUGAUAAAAACAAGCCUUAAAUUCCACCCUGAGAGUAAAAAUUGCUGAUUCAGCAAAUUUUGCCUGAUCUGUUGGUAAUAAUGUAAAAAUUUACCUAAAAAGUAGAACUUCAUUGUUUUUAUGUAACUUUCAAUAUAUUAAUUAUAUAGGCUCGCUUUAACUUUUCGCAGUGUCUGACACAUGUGCAACCACUGGAAUUUGAGACGCGACAUUCUUUGAUUGCAUGUACAUCCUAUUAUUUUCACCGAAAUAAAUAAAUUGCAUAAUUCUUUAUUUUUUCAACACAAGUACAGCUAUACUAGUUUUCUUCAGGUUUUAUUUGUAGUUCUGAGGUAUCAUGACACCAGUAGGAGCAUUUUGGGAACCAGUAAGUGGUUAAGGGGUCCUUACUUAUUCAUUUAGCCCUCAUAUUUGGCUGAAAUAGAGAUAGCAAUAGGGGUUGCUUUACAUUGAAAAGACAUUAUUUUUGACAAAGAAUGUAAUUAUAAUGUUAUAUCAGCAUGAUUAAAUGGUUUAUUCAUUUUCCAUGCAAAUGCCAUUAAUUGUUAAGAUUUUCUGACAGUGAAAAGCAAAAUAAAGGCAAUUUGAUUAUGUAAGGGGACAUAAUUUAACUUAAUGCAUACAUGAGAAAUAGACAAACAGUCAACUUAGAGAUGUGUUCUAGUACAUGUAUUGUCAAAAACAUUUUAGAAUAAUAGUUAACUGUAAUCUAAAGACUCUUGUUGUAUUGCCUUUAUAAUCUGGAAAUGCUUAAAGUAAUAUAAGGCAUGCUGUAAAAUGUGGAAUGGACUUUAAUAUCAUUUUUCAUGAUUUGGUGCUUAAACUGUUUCUUUUAGUCAGAUUAACCAUAAAUAGAGUUGGCAAUCCAAUAAUUCCUCCUGAAUCACCAUGUUUGACUUCUGUGUUUUGUUGAAACAUCAUAUAUUUGGGUUUUGUGCACUCCUUAGGUUAAAAUGGUAAGAUAAAAAAAAAAGUGAAA
rnacentral:lncRNA from 1 species